AACGAACGCUGGCGGCAUGCCUAACACAUGCAAGUCGAACGAGAGCUUCGGGUCUACUGGCGCACGGAGGCGUGGCGCGGUGGAACCUGCCCUUAAGUUUGGAAUAACGCCCCGGAUGGGGUCCUGAUACCGGCGAAUGUCUUGCAACCGAAGAUUUAUCGACUUUGGAUGGGCCUGCGUUGGCUUGGCUAGUGGUUAGGGUAAACCCCUACCAAUGCGACGAGCCAUAGCUGGUUUGAGAGGCUGAUACGCCACACUGGUAGUGAGAAACGGCCCAGACUACUACGGGAGGCAGCAGUGGGGAAUAUUGGACAAUGGGCGAAAGCCUGAUCCAGCAAUGCCGCGUGAGUGAUGAAGGUCUUAGGGUUGUAAAGCAAUUUUACACGGGAUGAUAAUGACAUUACCGGGAGAAUAAGCUCCGGCUAACUCCGUG
rnacentral:rRNA from 1 species